rnacentral:lncRNA from 1 species
AUAGAUCACAUCGACCAUAUCAAGCGCCACUCGCUUGCCAGCGUCCGCGUAUUCGGAGAUUGCUCCGCAUACUGCAACUCUACCAAAGAGGUUCAUGUUGGCGACUGCAGCCUCUAACAUCGCAGAACCAACGUUGUCGAAGUAUAUGUCGAUUCCUUCCGGGAAGUACCUAUUCAUAGAAGUAAUCAGGAAGUAUGAACUGCUGCUUGCAAAGAUCGAUACAAGAUGGGAUCUGUCUUACCUUCUAAGAGCAGACUUCAGAUCAGGUUCUUCUUUGUAGUUAAACGCGUCAUCAAAUCCAAGCUUCUCUUUUAGAAGAUCCACCUUCGUCUUGCUUCCGGCGCAUCCCACGACGUAGCAGCCAGAGAGCUUGGCGUAUUGGCCGACCAAACUCCCCACCGAACCGGAUGCUGCGGAGACGAAGACCGUCUCCCCCUUCUUCGGCUUGCAGAUGUCGUAGAAGCCAGCGUAAGCUGUCAAUCCACUCGUCCCUGCGGCAAACAGCAGUGCGUUAUGAUCAGAGUGUCUCGUGGCCUUCUCCGUCUGUCAAUCUUGUGGAUCCAUUUCCUGCGUCUCUCUGAUAAUUACCUAAGAUGCUCGCAUGGUAUGACAGCGGGAACUCAUGCGGGUCAACCUUGGUCAACGUGGUUCCCGGCCGGACGACCGUGUAUUCCUCCCAGGCCAGAAGUCCGACCACCACAUCGUCUCUUUCGAACUCCUGGUUCCCUGAGACCACCACCUUCCCCACUCCGAAGGCAUCGAUUCUCUGUAGCAAAGGUCGCCAGAUGCACGCCGAGCUCGUGAAGAAACAAGCUAGCAAACCCAACGAACGACGAUAAUUAACAGGAAGCUCGCCUGCCCGGGCUGGAUGCGUGUUGCAGCAGCAGAGGUCUUCUGUGUGGAACUGUACGUCUUCAUGCGGUUGAGCUGGUAGGGAUCGAUCGACAGGAACAAGUUCUUGACGACUACUUCCUUGGACCCCUGCGCGGCGGAGAGGACAAGCGGUGCGCUCCGGAGCUCGAAGUCGGACUCGUUGGGGAGGCCAUCGAUGGCGUGCUUGAUGAUGAUGUGCUUGUUCUCCACCUCCAUCCUCGCUGCGCUCUCUGUUCUUGCCAAUGGCGGCUAGUUAACGAUCCCUUGCUGCGUAACGAUAAACACGCCAAUCUGGCAGAUAGAAGAAAGAGUGUCCUCGUCCUUUUAUUAUUUUAAUAUUUUUGAUAUUAUAUCAUUAUAAUUUUAAAUUAUAAAAAUUAUGAUAACAUGAAGAUUCUAUCAAUAAUAAAAAUCAUAAUAUCAAUAUGAUUUUCUAAAUUAUAAAAUAAUUUAAUAAAUAUUUUAUAUUGAUUAUUAAUUAAAAAUAUAUAUAAUUAUCAUAUUUUGUAAUCUCUCUUUGUGUAUAUAAAUUCAUAGUCACUCUCAAUUAAAAAAUUAAUUAAUUAUUUUUUCUCAUGAUAUCAUAACCAUAAUUGCUCAAAAGAUUUUUUUAAUUUUAUUUUUACUAUUAUUUCUUUAUACCUUUUCCUUUAUCAUAGUUAAAGGUAAUGCUUUGCUGUACCUAUUCUUUCAACUGGUUGAAUAUAGCAUUACAAUUUCUAUUUAGUUUUAUACUUUAAUAAACUUUUCUUUUUUAUAAGUGCCUUUGCAUUUUUUUUUUCUUGACUUUUUGGCAUGAUCGGUAAUAACUCUUCGUAUCACCCCCAAUUAUUUUACUAUUGAAAAUACUAUUGACUCCAUUAACAUUGCAAUCCAAGCUCCUCUCAAACUCAUAUUCACAAACUAUAUCUCUUAUUAUACUUGAUUAUUUAAUCGAUUAUGAUAUUAUGGGUUAAGUAAAUAAUAUCAUCACUUUUCCUCUACAAAUGAUUAGAGAGAAUAAUCUUAAGAUUAUUAAUCCUAAAUAUAUUUUUUUAAUAGGUCAAUAUCAUUUUUUUAGAAGUGUUAUCAUUACCUUUCUCUCUCAUCAAAUUAUUCCUUAGUCUCUACAAAUUUUUUCUUACGAAGUAUAGUCCAAAUUUACAAUAAUAUACAUCAACCAAUCUCGUAGUCACCUAAUGCAACUUCUAGAAAUUCUUUAAAACUCUAAUGAUAAAGAGAUCAUUUUUUUCAUGUAUUAAAUAUUCUUGGUCCAAAUUAUAAGGAGAUCUCGUGAUAAACUUAUAAGUUUUGAAGAAUUAUGAGACAAGUCAAUCGAUCAUCUCGGGAUAACACAGUGAAACUCACUCUCUCUAAUACCCCUUUCAUCGUCGUCCGAUAAUGCAGGUACCAUGGGACCCACCAUUGUCUCCUAUCACAAUGUAAACAAUUCAUUCUCCUACUGUACAUUAUUGACGAUAAAAAGAUUCGAGUGAAUUUUUAGAAAAAAUAUUUAUUUUUUUGAAAUUCUUCACAUAACAUUCAUAUUUUAAAAUAAUUAAAUAUUUUUUAAUAAUCAUUUUAUCCUUACUUUAGUUAAACCCUUUACCCAGCCCAGCCCAUUAGCCAUCGCCUGCAUUGUCACCUUCGUCGGAACUCAAUAAUCAAUGAUGAUGGCGCUCGUUCGAUGCCAGUGGAGUGUGAACUUAUGCGUGAUGAAAGGAGACGAUCAACUCUAGCACAAGAGCUAUAGUGGAGGGAGCGAUCCGCAUGAAGAAAGGGACUUGCAAGCUUCGACGAGGAUUACGAGCAAUGAUUGGGAUGACAGAGGUAAUGAUGGGUCCCGUAGAAAAACAAAAGGUAAAAUAAAAUUUUCAUAAAAUUAGUAAGAACAUGUAAAUUUUUGAAAAAUAAACGUUUUUUCGAAAAUUCGCCAAAAGCUUUCCGCUCUUAUUCAUCACAAGCAAUUCAGUCUAUCACAAACUUGUCAAAUGCACGAGCUUUUUGCCGACAUUAUCACCUCGAAACAGCCCAGCAAAAGCAGAUGGCACGCUUUCGAGGCCAGUGGAUAUGUCUUCGACUGCUCGCAUUCUGCCAUGGCGAAGAUGGUCGGAUGUGGACGAUAUGAAUCCAGCGUACACGUGAAGGUGAUCGAAGGCGAGGAACCCGCGGAGUGUGAUCCGUUUAUAGAUCACAUCGACCGUAUCAAGCGCCAGUCGCUUGCCAGCGUCCGCGUAUUCGGAGAUUGCUCCGCAUACUGCAACUCUACCAAAAAGGUUCAUGUUGGCGACUGCAGCCUCUAACAUCGCAGAACCAACGUUGUCGAAGUAUAUGUCGAUUCCUUCCGGGAAGUACCUAUUCAUAAAAGUAAUCAGGAAGUAUGAACUGCUGCUUGCAAAGAUCGAUACAAGAUGGGAUCUGUCUUACCUUCUAAGAGCAGACUUUAGAUCAGGUUCUUCUUUGUAGUUAAACGCGUCAUCAAAUCCAAGCUUCUCUUUUAGAAGAUCCACCUUCGUCUUGCUUCCGGCGCAUCCCACGACGUAGCAGCCAGAGAGCUUGGCGUAUUGGCCGACCAAACUCCCCACCGAACCGGAUGCUG